ACCUGAUGCAGCCAUGCCGCGUGUGUGAAGAAGGCCUUCGGGUUGUAAAGCACUUUCAGUUGUGAGGAAAGGUUGGUAGUUAAUACCUGCCAGCUGUGACGUUAACAACAGAAGAAGCACCGGCUAACUCCGUGCCAGCGGCCGCGGUAAUACGGAGGGUGCGAGCGUUAAUCGGAAUUACUGGGCGUAAAGCGCACGCAGGCGGUUUGUUAAGCUAGAUGUGAAAGCCCCGGGCUCAACCUGGGAUGGUCAUUUAGAACUGGCASACUAGAGUCUUGGAGAGGGGAGUGGAAUUCCAGGUGUAGCGGUGAAAUGCGUAGAUAUCUGGAGGAACAUCAGUGGCGAAGGCGGCUCCCUGGCCAAAGACUGACGCUCAUGUGCGAAAGUGUGGGUGGCGAACAGGAUUAGAUACCCUGGUAGUCCACACCGUAAACGCUGUCUACUAGCUGUUUGUGAAUUUAAUUCSUGAGUAGCGAAGCUAACGCGAUAAGUAGACCGCCUGGGGAGUACGGCCGCAAGGUUAAAACUCAAAUGAAUUGACGGGGGCCCGCACAAGCGGUGGAGCAUGUGGUUUAAUUCGAUGCAACGCGAAGAACCUUACCUACACUUGACAUGCWGAGAACUUUCCAGAGAUGGAUUGGUGCCUUCGGGAACUCUGACACAGGUGCUGCAUGGCUGUCGUCAGCUCGUGUCGUGAGAUGUUGGGUUAAGUCCCGCAACGAGCGCAACCCUUGUCCUUAGUUGCCA
rnacentral:rRNA from 1 species